UACAGAGGUCUCAAGCGUUGUUCGGAUUUAUUGGGCGUAAAGGGUGCGUAGGCGGUCGGAUAAGUCGGGUGUGAAAUCCCAGGGCUCAACCUUGGAAUUGCACUCGAUACUGUUUGGCUAGAGUACUGGAGAGGAGACUGGAAUUUACGGUGUAGCAGUGAAAUGCGUAGAUAUCGUAAGGAAGACCGGUGGCGAAAGCGAGUCUCUGGACAGUUACUGACGCUGAGGCACGAAGGCCAGGGGAGCAAACGGG
rnacentral:rRNA from 1 species